AGGGGACAUUUGACCUCUCAAUGGGAUUUUUAACAAGCUCUGCGAUUAAAUUCGCCAAGAACCACAUUGAAAGAUUGCAAAGUAGUUUCAAUACUAGGAAAUCUUCAUCUUGAUCCAGCUAAAGUCAUAUGGUUAAUUCAAGCACUUGGAUUAAAUUUCCCCUUGACAUCAAACUGUUGAACACCAAGAACAAGCUUAACAAUGGUUGACACUUGACAGACAUUCAUUUGCUCCAAAGCAAAGAAAGCGUACCAUUUGAGUAAGAUAACAAUAUAGAUCACCUCGAUGCACAAAGAAUUUCAGUCAAGAACAUGUUCUGCACCAAUAGCAAAGGAUAUACAUAAUAACUAAACACAAGCAAGUGUUUCCAAGUGCUUGUGUGCAUCAAUCCAAUCAUACAAUGUAAGAUUCUCUCCAAAAUAAAGAGCACCUGGAGGAUUUAUUUCCACAUGCUCAACAACCUUCUUUGUGAUAAUGUCAUAUGAGAUCAACUUACCUGGCAAUGACAACACAAGCUUUGCCUUGUUUUCUUUUUCAUCUGCAACAAAACUCGGAACUCUAAAUUGAUAUCUUUCCACUUCAUCAGGAUCAAAUGCCUCAUUGACAAUCAACGGGUACUCAGCGAUCAAAAAAUCAAGAUCAACACGAUGCUUGACAUACCACUUCGAAUAAUCACUCUCCAUCUCCAGAACAUCAACCAAUGUAGCUCGAGGACUGUACGUCUCGAUGAGAUGUAAAUGCCCACCAGACUCCCCAAAGUACAAGAUAUUCCUUCUCCACUGGUCAUCAGGAAUCAAAGGACUUGGCAUUGGCUUGAACCUCUCACUCCACAAAUCAAAGCACAAAAAAUCCCCAUCAGCAUUCGCCCAAUGCAUAGCAUCAUCCAAAUAAGCCCCAUACUUGAAAAGAACAUUUAUACUAUUGAACAUGGAACUCAAGUUGUCAUCCUCGUCAAGCUCCUCAUCCCACUCAAAAUCAAACUCAUAGGACUCAUCUGUCUCCUUCCAAACCCCAGUCUCCGAGGAGUACAAUGAAAACCGGAGUACAAUCUCCGGCAACCUCAUCCAAACGCAUAAAAUUUUGUAGUGGUCGGGUUUUAAAGGAUCGAAAGCCAAACUCAAAUCCCUAAUUGAAUGGCGAUCCUCGGGCGAAUCCGGAAGCUGAAUAAACCGACUCUGAUUGGUAGUAGGAUUAUACAUAAAAAAUUUUGUGCUUUCAUCAUCGUACGGGUCCAAACAGAUCAACCCAUUACAGGAGUGAAUCCGCCAUGGAAAACCCUCCCUUCGAUUGCUCAAAUUAGAAGUUAUAACACGCAUGGAAUUGACAUCUUCCAAACUAUUGCUAAGACAAAGGAAAUUGAACUCAGGAACCCAACAAAAUACCCGGUAAAAGAAGAGGUUGGUGGCGGCGGCGGAGGAGGUGGGAUUGCGGCGGGCGUGAAGGCGGCGGAAAUUGGGCCUGGAAAUGAUUGAGAGCCAUAGUUUGGAGACGCAUUGCAAGCGCAGGAGGGAUUUUGGUGGUAAGCAGAGUAGAAUUUCGGUUAAGAGGUCUUCGUUGUUGAUGAUGGACAGGGUUGAUGGAGAUGGUGGCGGCGGCAGUGGUGAGACGGCGGAAUGAAGUGGGGUGGUGCCGGAGAUUUUCGAGGUAUAAUGGGUGAGACGAAGUUGGGGUUUGUCUUCUUCGUCCGCCAUGGUAAAUGAUUCGAAGGCUGAAGC
rnacentral:lncRNA from 1 species